UGGACAGUGACGUGACUACCUCUCCACCAAACAGGUACAGCAUGCACUGCAGCAAGGCACGCUUCCCUCUCACCACCCACUAAUGUGCCUCACCCCUGACCUCAGGAACCCCCUCCGGGGCAAGAGGGGGGUCAACAGGACAGAUUGAUUUCAACCACUGGUUUCA
rnacentral:sRNA from 1 species